UACGUAGGGUGCGAGCGUUAAUCGGAAUUACUGGGCGUAAAGCGUGCGUAGGCGGUUCCUCAAGUCCGUUGUGAAAUCCCCGGGCUCAACCUGGGAACUGCAUUUGUGACUGCACGGCUGGAGUGCGGCAGAGGGGGAUGGAAUUCCGCGUGUAGCAGUGAAAUGCGUAGAUAUGCGGAGGAACACCGAUGGCGAAGGCAAUCCCCUGGGCCUGCACUGACGCUCAUGCACGAAAGCGUGGGGAGCAAACAGG
rnacentral:rRNA from 1 species